ensembl:lncRNA
UCUUUAACAACUGGUGUGGAGUCAUCUCAAUAUUUUAACAUCGGCUGGCUUUCCAGGUGUGUGCAGGGUGAUGAUUAGCUCUACCUGCCACCCAUCACAGAACUCAGAGUUUCACCACUUCCUUCUCCAUUUUCUUUAGCUGUCAGCAUAUAGUUAAUGGGCAACAACAAAGCUCUCCAUCCAGUUCUGGGAAAUAAUAAUCAUGGUUAAUAGUUAUUGAGAACUGAUGAUUUCGUUUCUUCUUCAUACCAACGCUUGGGGUAGGCACCAUUUUAAAAGCGAUUGGAGACAGGUUAAACAACUUGCCCUCAAUCAACGGUUGGGAAGUGAAAGAACCAAGCUUCAAAUCCAGGUCUGUCUGGGUCUUGAGCCAAGCUCGAAGUCUGUGUCACAUUGCCCAGGACUCGGCUGCCAAUUCUCCCCACCUCCUCGUCCCUCACUGCUGCAUCAGCAAAUCCAGGGCUCAUGGCAGGAAGAGCAGAGAAGAGCAAAGAUGAAAACUCCUCGAAGUCACAUCUAUCCAUCCUUGCCUGGCACAGAGGAGAUGCUUCAUUUGGAUGUGUUGCUGGAGGGGAGAGGUGCAAGCAGUAUGCCAUGGGCACUCAGAGAAAGAGACUAUCUUUAUUCCUGUAAGCUUCAACUAGGGAGCUUCAAUGUUGCGCAAAUGACAGCAGAGAGAGUCAUCAGGUAUGGUCAUGUUAAGACUCUGCUUUCAAAUACCCUGGACCUGUAUGCUGAAAACAGGACUGCUGGAUUGUGUGCUUUCUGCUACAAAAACUAGUACCUGUGAUCUUGGAUGAGUGUUUUAGUUACACUCUAGAUUGCAAGGAACGGAACUCCUUUGGGGACCUGGUAAUAAGGAUUAUCAAAGAAUUUGUGUGACGUCCACAAUCCCGCCAGUGACCAGCGCAGCUGUAACCAGACCCCGCCAUGUGCUCGUGGACCCACAGCCUCAUAUUCGUUCACCUUGGCUCACUGGGAUUUUCUGUCCCCACCUAACUUCACUUCCUAAGGGCCUUUGCUUACCAUGGCCUCCAGUCCACCCCACGACAUCCUUCCUGAAGCCUGUGGGUCUCGCUAGGUCAGUCUAGAUUUCCAAAAUUCGUGCUCUGGAGACCUUCAAUGUGAUCGGUCAGGUUCAUCUUUUCACGUUAGCUCAUGUCCUCAGUCACUGGCCUGUCUUGAUCGGGUGUCUAUCUCCAGCUUAAUUAACUAUGAUCCGAGGUGGGGGCUGAGGGUCACAUGGAUGUGACUUGGUUGUCUGUGUAACAGGAGCCAAGGGUAGGGCAAUUCCCCUUGGAAAGAUGAGUGAGUGCGUGCUGAGGUACAGACUGAUAUCUCAAGGCUAGCAGACUUUCAAUUUGGAUUGCUCUUCAUGAGAAAAACUAGAAGCUCAGAGCUGCUUUCAUAGUCUGACGGAAUCCAGAUAGUGUUUACAGCAGUGCCCAAUUUCCAUUUCCAAUUUUCCAUUCCACAUCUUUGCUAAUAAGGACAAAUAAGAAUUUAGGCAAUUAAUUACAUAAUUGAGUCCCAAACUCUGCUAUCAUCUGGGGCAUCAAGCAUAAAACACACACUUUCAGUCAGAAAGCUUAUUUUUAUUUUAACCUGAAUCACCCGGAUCAUAGCAGGAUUUUGCUUGAAUGACCCAGACAGAGUGCAUCAAUUUUCUGCUUUACGUACUCUGCUUGUGGAGACCAGGCUGUUAGUGGUUGCUUCUGGAAUGAGAGAACAUAUUAAAAAAAGGUUGGAACCUGGAAAACUUUCUAGAAUAGUAUGAUACUCCUGUACGUAAAUUCUUUUCUUCUUGUUUUUUCAUUAUUCGGUCUACUAACAAUGGUAAAUGUGCUUUAAUUAGAAACUUUUCCUCCAAAGAUUUCUUUUUCUAUGAGAAAGCACAGAAUAUUUUCAAACAAUGUUAGUCCAUGCAGAUAUUUUAAUUUUUAAUGAUUUCAUUAGAAUGAUAAACUUUAAGAUGAUUGAUAAUAAUCUUUCUACAUCAGUCUAUAAACACUGUUCUUAUCAAUUUACUGAUAACUUCUCCACUUUUUCUUCCCAUGACACAUAUAAAACAUGUGUGUUCCUAUGUGCUGGUUGUGAUUCUGUAUGAAGCGUGAAAAGCUUGGGUGCUUAAGGCAGACCACCUGAGUUUGAACCCUGCCUCCAGCUGUGAGAUCUUGUUAUAGAUACUUAAUGUUGUAUCCCAUGAUUUCCUCAUCUGUAAAAUGGGUUUGGGAUAUUACUUACCUCAUUGGGUUCCUGUGAAAGCGCUGUGAACAGUAUCUGACUUCUGGCACGUGCCCAGGAGACAUCUGUUGUUACUUUCAUUCUCUCCCACUUGAGAAAGCACAUAUUGGAAUGCAAACGAUGUCAGUCAGUCUUUUAAGGAUAAUUAAUCUAAUUUAUAUUUUAUAUGAAUUUUAUAUUAUGCAUUUGUAUUUUCUAAUGAAAAGAAAAUAAUCUAUAACCUUCAGUUCAGAAUCCACUGGGUGUCCUAUUCAGAGAGCUGUUGCUCUUAGUAAUUUUCUUCUCUGUACUGAGGUGUAUAACUGACUUUGUAACAGAUAGCUAAAUGCCAUUUGAAAAACAUAGUUCACCCAUUCUGGCAAAACAAUAAUUGAACAAUUUAAUCUAGAAAAAACAUUUUGCUUUUGAAAAUUUUAAGCUGUUAAAACAUUUGAGUAAAUAAUUUACCUUUUGCCAGAAAUCAUAAUAAAAAUAAUAAAAAGCUAAUAAAACCCCCACAUUACAUAUAUGUGAUUAUUCUUUUGUAAGUGAAUCCAGUUGAAAUUUUGUAUUUCUUAAGUUGAAAUUUAAUGCUUUACAUAUUAGCUAAAAUAUGUUAUGCCUACGUAUUCUGGGGAAAUUAAUCUGAAAUUUGCAUAUUCAAGUUAUUUUAUGGGCUAACUCACAUGUAUAGAGAAGAUGGAAGGCAGCUAAGAUCCUUUUAUUUCAAAAUGUUUUUGAGUGUUGGUUAUGAGAAUUUUGAUUUCCUUCCUUUCCUGAGCCAAUUUUGAGAUGCAUCUCUCACCCUACAGAUGUCUACGUGCACUUGGAGAUUCUAGGAAGCCCAGUAGAAAUGCCAGAGAGUUUAUGGAAAGAUCAGAUGACAGAAGGAAUGGCUUUGGAGACAGAGAGAAGCUCAACCCUUGCAGGUGACUGAAGUCAGGAGCCUAAUUCAUCAGUGACAAGAAUUGUUGAGUCAAUGGCUGAACGAGAAGGUUAUGAAAACCCUCACAGAAGAGAUGGCCUCACUCCUGCUCCUAGCUGAAACUAAUUUUGGAUGAACAAAAUUUAUGUGCUGAAUAAAUGCUUUACUUAUUUUUUUCCGGCUCGACAUGGCUGUCUAGACUUCGAGCUUUAUUAGCAGGAGAGA